rnacentral:rRNA from 1 species
GAUGAACGCUAGCGGCAGGCUUAACACAUGCAAGUCGAACGGUAACAUAGAGAGCUUGCUUUCUGAUGACGAGUGGCGAACGGGUGCGUAACGCGUAUGCAACCUACCUUAAACAGGGGUAUACCCCAGAGAAAUUUGGAUUAAUCCCCCAUAGUAUAAUCAUUUCGCAUGUUAUGAUUAUUAAAACUUCGGUGGUUUAAGAUGGGCAUGCGUGACAUUAGAUAGUUGGUGAGGUAACGGCUCACCAAGUCAACGAUGUCUAGGGGUUCUGAGAGGAUUAUCCCCCACACUGGUACUGAGACACGGACCAGACUCCUACGGGAGGCAGCAGUGAGGAAUAUUGGUCAAUGGACGAAAGUCUGAACCAGCCAUGCCGCGUGAAGG